GACGAACGCUGGCGGCGUGCUUAACACAUGCAAGUCGAACGGAAAGGCCCUGCUUUUGUUGGGUGCUCGAGUGGCGAACGGGUGAGUAACACGUGAGUAACCUGCCCUUGACUUUGUGAUAACUUCAGGAAACUGGGGCUAAUACCGGAUAGGAGCUCCUGCUGCAUGUUGGGGGUUGGAAAGUUUCGGCGGUUGGGGAUGGACUCGCGGCUUACCAGCUUGUUGGUGGGGUAGUGGCUUACCAAGGCUUUGACGGGUAGCCGGCCUGAGAGGGUGACCGGCCACAUGGGGACUGAGAUACGGCCCAGACUCCUACGGGAGGCAGCAGUGGGGAAUAUUGCACAAUGGGCGGAAGCCUGAUGCAGCAACGCCGCGUGCGGGAUGACGGCCUUCGGGUUGUAAACCGCUUUCGCCUGUGACGAAGCGUGAGUGACGGUAAUGGGUAAAGAAGCACCGGCUAACUACGUG
rnacentral:rRNA from 1 species